UGGGGAAUAUUGCACAAUGGGCGCAAGCCUGAUGCAGCCAUGCCGCGUGUAUGAAGACGGCCUUCGGGUUGUAAAGUACUUUCAGCGAGGAGGAAGGCGUUGUGGUUAAUAACCGCAGCGAUUGACGUUACUCGCAGAAGAAGCACCGGCUAACUCCGUGCCAGCAGCCGCGGUAAUACGGAGGGUGCAAGCGUUAAUCGGAAUUACUGGGCGUAAAGCGCACGCAGGCGUUCUGUCAAGUCGGAUGUGAAAUCCCCGGGGUCAACCUGGGAACUGCAUCCGAAACUGGCAGGCUAGAGUCUUGUAGAGGGGGGUAGAAUUCCAGGUGUAGCGGUGAAAUGCGUAGAGAUCUGGAGGAAUACCGGUGGCGAAGGCGGCCCCCUGGACAAAGACUGACGCUCAGGUGCGAAAGCGUGGGGAGCAAACA
rnacentral:rRNA from 1 species